rnacentral:rRNA from 1 species
CCUACGGGAGGCAGCAGUGAGGAAUAUUGGUCAAUGGACGAGAGUCUGAACCAGCCAAGUAGCGUGAAGGAUGACUGCCCUAUGGGUUGUAAACUUCUUUUAUAUGGGAAUAAACUGAGUCACGUGUGGGAUUUUGUAUGUACCAUAUGAAUAAGGACCGGCUAAUUCCGUGCCAGCAGCCGCGGUAAUACGGAGGCUCCGGGCGUUAUCCGGAUUUAUUGGGUUUAAAGGGAGCGUAGGGGGAUUGUUAAGUCAGUUGUGAAAGUUUGCGGCUCAACCGUAAAAUUGCAGUUGAAACUGGCAGUCUUGAGUGCGGUAGAGGUGGGCGGAAUUCGUGGUGUAGCGGUGAAAUGCUUAGAUAUCACGAAGAACUCCGAUUGCGAAGGCAGCUCACUGGACUGUAACUGACGCUGAGGCUCGAAGGUGUGGGUAUCAAACAGGAUUAGAUACCCUUGUAGUC